rnacentral:rRNA from 1 species
UACAUAGGGGGCAAGCGUUGUCCGGAAUCAUUGGGCGUAAAGAGCGUGUAGGCGGCCAGAUAAGUCGGCUGUGAAAUCUCGAGGCUCAACUUCGAGCUGUCGGUGGAAACUGGCUGGCUAGAGUCCGGAAGAGGAGAAUGGAAUUCCUGGUGUAGCGGUGAAAUGCGCAGAUAUCAGGAAGAACACCCGUGGCGAAGGCGGUUCUCUGGGACGGUACUGACGCUGAGACGCGAAAGCGUGGGGAGCGAACAGG